rnacentral:rRNA from 1 species
GACGAACGCUGGCGGCGUGCUUAACACAUGCAAGUCGAACGGAAAGGCCCUGCUUUUGUGGGGUGCUCGAGUGGCGAACGGGUGAGUAACACGUGAGUAACCUGCCCUUGACUUUGGGAUAACUUCAGGAAACUGGGGCUAAUACCGGAUAGGAGCUCCUGCUGCAUGGGGGGGGUUGGAAAGUUUCGGCGGUUGGGGAUGGACUCGCGGCUUAUCAGCUUGUUGGUGGGGUAGUGGCUUACCAAGGCUUUGAAGGGUAGCCGGCCUGAGAGGGUGACCGGCCACAUUGGGACUGAGAUACGGCGCAGACUCCUACGGGCGGCAGCAGUCGGGAAUAUUGCACAAUGGGCGGAAGCCUGAUGCAGCAACGCCGCGUGCGUGAUGACGUCCUUCGGGUUGUAAACCGCUUUCGCCUUUGACGAAGCGUGAGUGACGGUAAUGGGUAAAGAAGCACCGGCUAACUACGUG